rnacentral:rRNA from 1 species
AUUGAACGCUGGCGGCAUGCCUUACACAUGCAAAUCGAACGGUAACGGGCCUUCGGGUGCCGACGAGUGGCGGACGGGUGAGUAAUACAUCGGAACGUGCCCGAUCGUGGGGGAUAACGAGGCGAAAGCUUUGCUAAUACCGCAUACGAUCUACGGAUGAAAGCAGGGGACCGCAAGGCCUUGCGCGGACGGAGCGGCCGAUGGCAGAUUAGGUAGUUGGUGGGAUAAAAGCUUACCAAGCCGACGAUCUGUAGCUGGUCUGAGAGGAUGAUCAGCCACACUGGGACUGAGACACGGCCCAGACUCCUACGGGAGGCAGCAGUGGGGAAUUUUGGACAAUGGGCGCAAGCCUGAUCCAGCCAUGCCGCGUGCAGGAUGAAGGCCUUCGGGUUGUAAACUGAUUUUGUACGGAACGAAAAGCCUUCUUUUAAUACAGGAGGAUCGUGACGGUACCGUAAGAAUAAGCACCGGCUAACUACGUG